UACGUAGGUGGCAAGCGUUGUCCGGAUUUACUGGGCGUAAAGAGCGCGCAGGCGGUCGGAUAAGUCGAAUGUGAAAGCCCCUGGCUCAACCAGGGAGGGUCAUUCGAUACUGUUCGACUCGAAGGCAGGAGAGGGAAGUGGAAUUCCGGGUGUAGUGGUGAAAUGCGUAGAUAUCCGGAGGAACACCAGUGGCGAAGGCGACUUUCUGGCCUGUUCUUGACGCUGAGGCGCGAAAAGCUAGGGGAGCAAACGGGG
rnacentral:rRNA from 1 species